CCUCUGUCUCUUUCCUCCUCUCAGUAGAAACUAAACCAGGUUACUGUGAACCUCCUGUAUUCUCUGUCCUCUUCUCAGUAGAAACUAAACCAGGUUCCUGUGAACCUCCUGUAUCCUCUGUCCUCCUCUCAGUAGAAACUAAACCAGGUUCCUGUGAACCUCCUGUAUCCUCUGUCUCUUUCCUCCUCUCAGUAGAAACUAAACCAGGUUACUGUGAUCCUCCUGUAUCCUCUGUCCUCCUCUCAGUAGAAA
rnacentral:lncRNA from 1 species